rnacentral:rRNA from 1 species
UACAGAGGGGGCAAGCGUUAUUCGGAAUUAUUGGGCGUAAAGGGCGCGUAGGCGGCCUGACAAGUGGAAGGUGAAAUCCCUCGGCUUAACCGAGGAACUGCCCUCCAAACUGUCUGGCUUGAGACCGGGAGAGGUGAGUGGAAUUCCCAGUGUAGCGGUGAAAAUGCGUAGAUAUUGGGAGGAACACCAGUGGCGAAGGCGGCUCACUGGACCGGUACUGACGCUGAUGCGCGAAAGCGUGGGGAGCAAACGGG